rnacentral:rRNA from 1 species
UACGUAGGUGGCAAGCGUUGUCCGGAAUUAUUGGGCGUAAAGCGCGCGCAGGCGGUCCUUUAAGUCUGAUGUGAAAGCCCUGGGCUCAACCUGGGAAUGGCAUUGGAAACUGGCGAUCUAGAGUGCGGUAGAGGGUAGUGGAAUUCCCGGUGUAGCAGUGAAAUGCGUAGAGAUCGGGAGGAACAUCUGUGGCGAAGGCGACUGCCUGGACCAGCACUGACACUGAGGCACGAAAGCGUGGGGAGCAAACAGG